GAGGAUAGGUCACUGGGGAGAGCAUGAGACUCUUAAUCUCAGGGUCGUGGAUUCGAGUCUCACACCAAGCA